AUGAAGAUGCCCAUUGGAGCUUUCAUCACGUUCUUGUGGCUGCAGCUGGACUGUGUCAGCCUUGGAGAGAAGGUGGAGCAAAGUCCUUCUACCCUGAGUGUCCAGGAGGGAAACAGCUCUGUUAUCACCUGUACUUACACAGACACUACUUCAGACUACUUCCCUUGGUAUAAGCAAGAACCUGGAAAAGGUCCCCAGUUCCUUAUAGACAUUCGUUCAAACACAGGCAAUAAUGAAGACCGAAGACUGACUGUUUUAUUGAAUAGGACAGCCAAACGUGUCUCCCUGAACAUCACAGCCACCCAACCUGAAGACUCAGCUGUCUACUUCUGUGCAGCAAGUACACAUUGCUUCCCAGAUACCUGCUACCUGUACUCAAACCUGUGA